UUGUCUAGCUUUGGUCUUAUCAGCUUGUUAUUAAUUGGGGGAAAAGGUUCAUGGUAAGAGAUUUGUAUAUUGUCAAUAAAACCGAGAUUUUCAGGGUCCCCUUAACUUGUAUUAUCAUUCAGUUUCCUUAUGGUUAUGAUAUAGAACUGAGAUUUAUGCAGCAAUUUAUAAAUCUUACUAGUGAAAUCAUUUCUGCGCAUAGCCUGACAGACCAGAUGAGUUGAAUAGAAUUGAAGCAGCUGGUGGAAAGGUCAUAAACUGGAAUGGACAACGCGUUCUUGGAGUUCUAUCCACUUCUAGAUCAAUAGGUGAUCAUUACCUCAGACCAUAUGUCAUUUCCAAACCGGAAGUCACGGUGACCAAGCGAUCCGACAAGGAUGAAUUCCUCGUACUCGCUAGCGAUGGUUUGUGGGACGUUAUCUCAAACGAAGUUGCGUGCCAGGUCGUGAAGAGAUGUCUCGAUGGACGAAUGAGGCGGAAUUCCCUCGAGGCUGAGAAUGAAAGCCAUGCUGCUCGGGCAGCAGCAGUGUUGGCCGAGCUAGCAAUGGCUCGGGGGAGCAAAGAUAACACCAGCGUGAUUGUUGUUGAUUUAAGGAAACCCAGAGGCUUUCUCACUCGGUAGCCCUCUCGUUAUCUUCUCUAGCUUGGUCCUGCCAAGCUUUAAUUGAACGCAUGCACGUGCAAGAAAGCUUGAUCAAUAUUCCCGGAACCGCCCAAGGAUUCAGACAAAGAAAUGUCGGAUAUGGGAGCCUCAGAGUUUCAUGGAAUCGUGGGUACGCGUGUCGUUUAACAUGUAUAAAUUCAUUUGUGGUGAUGUUUGAUAACCAUACCAUACACCUUCCUUGAAAUCAUCACACCAUGGUAUUACAAGCAUUACGAAAUGGGUUUUUUUUUUAUUUUUGGUGUGGCUAAAAAUAAAAACAAAGCAUGCUAGAUUGUGGUGAGUAUUUGUCACGUUGUGAUGGGCUCCGCUUGUUAAUGUUGUUGGGGAUUCUUUUUUGGGGCAAGUGAAGCACAAUGUCUAUUUCAAUGGGCUCAGCUUCUCUGUUUUUAAGUGUUCUCUUUUUGUUGGGCUGCUUCUCAGGCGGCCAAUCCAUGAACCAGGACUGAUGUAGCCUAUUUGCUUUGUAAGGUGAGCUCAAUUUUGGGAGACUCCUUGCCUGGUUGAUUGUUGAAA